rnacentral:rRNA from 1 species
UGCUAGUCGUGCGCUUCAGCCAAAACGAGGCGCGGCAUACAGCUCAGUAACACGUGGCUAAUCUGCCCUUGGGACGAGAACAACCCCGGGAAACUGGGGCUAAUUCUCGAUAGGUGAAGAACUCUGGAAUGAGUCUUCGCUUAAAGAGCUUCACGUUAUGCUCGUGAAGUCGCCCAAGGAUGAGGCCGCGACCGAUCAGGUUGUUGGUGAGGUAAUGGCUCACCAAGCCUUUUACCGGUGCGGGCCGUGAGAGCGGGAGCCCGGAGAUGGGCACUGAGACAAGGGCCCAGGCCCUACGGGGCGCAGCAGUCGCGAAAACUUUGCAAUACACGAAAGUGUGACAGGGCUAUCCCGAGUGCCAUCCGCUGAGGAGGGCUUUUACCCAGUAUAGAUCGCUGGGGGAAUAAGGAGAGGGCAAGUCUGGUGUCAGCCGCCGCGGUAAUACCAGCUCUCCGAGUGGUGUGGAUGUUUAUUGGGCCUAAAGCAUCCGUAGCUGGCUAAGUCAGUCCCUUGUUAAAUCCACCGAAUUAAUCGUUGGAUUGCGGGGGAUACUGCUUGGCUAGGGGACGAGAGAGGCAGACGGUAUUUCCGGGGUAGGGGUGAAAUCCUAUAAUCCCGGGAAGACCACCAGUGGCGAAGGCUGUCUGCUAGAACGCGCCCGACGGUGAGGGAUGAAAGCUGGGGGAGCGAACCGGAUUAGAUACCCGGGUAGUCCCAGCUGUAAACGAUGCAGCUAGGUGUUUGGACGGCCACGUGCCGUUCUAGUGCCGCAGGGAAGCUGUUAAGCCUGCCGCCUGGGGAGUACGAUCGCAAGAUUGAAACUUAA